CUGUAACCAGUGGCAACUAGCCAUGGCCAGUGGCACCUAAAAAACGAAUUAACGAUAGUUUGAAGAAAUUAAAAUUAUUCUUUUAUUGAAGGCGUUCUCCACAAAUAUCCGUCAUUUAAUUUCAGUUUCUUGUCUUAGGAGAUAAUAAAAUGAUUUGGUCAAUUCAACUAAGGAGUAAAGACAAGCUAAUUGCCUAGGUAUAUACCACUGCUCCAGCAUCUGCUUGUAGCCAAUCAGAAAGCUUAAUCGGACAUCCUGAGAGGGAUUUUGUUCCUCUGCUCAUCAUGUUAUACUGUUAACAACCACCAUCAAUGAAAACCUCAGUCUAUGAAACAGUUUAUUAGGUAACAUUGUUUGUAUUGUAUCCUUGAUUUCCUUUUCCAUGUUUAGUAAAAGGUUCUGUAUAAUCAAUACCCAACCAAUAUUGUCAUUACGAAAGUGAUUGACUCAUUACUUGGGACAGCUAGUGUUGGUAGAUUUUUUCCUACUGAAGAAGUACAGUACAGAAAAAAGGGUGAUUCACACAAUUAAAAAAGCAAAAUGUCUUCAGACCUUUUUGUAGGAUAAGGAGAGUAUAACUGUUUAAGAGAAUCAUCUGUAAGUAUUUUAUUUGGGAAGAAGAUAUAAAUUCCGUUGAAACAGCCAACCAAAUUUUGUUUUAUAACCUUCCCUGCUCAGUCUUCUCGGCAGCCAUGUAGUUUAAUUAAAACAAAAUCUAUAGCAUUUGCAUUAUUUGUUGAAUCGCGUAGCAUAAGCCCAGAAACAAUUUCUGAAUUAAUGUAAUAGUUUACAGUAUACGUCCAAAUUGAAAUUAUUAAUAAGGUUUUUAUUGAAAUAAGGUAAUAAACAAAGGUAUUAAAGUUAAUUCGAACGUAUACAAUUACCUUCGAUUUAAAAAGCAAUUCCAUUUUUAGGUACUAAUCCUAUUGUAAGAGUUAAUUCUCAAGGCGGCGGUGGCGUCAUGGUUAGCGCUCCGUCUUCGCAUGUUCAAAGUCUGAGGUUCGAUUCCCGCCACCGACAAUCUACGGUUGUCCCAACAAACCUCCUCGGGCUGUUGGGGCCUUGUGGCACGGGAGUUACUAAUCAUGUAACCUAUUCCUAGCCAGAUCGUAGUAGAUAAAUCUUCACCUUAAGUGUGAUGAAGAUGGUGCCAUAUUCCAUGAUUCUGUCGAGCUCCUAGUGGGCGAGGAUGGCGUGAGGAGACCAUGGUACCGACAUUUUUAA